CUACGGGGUGCAGCAGUAGGGAAUAUUGCACAAUGGGCGAAAGCCUGAUGCAGCAACGCCGCGUGUGCGAUGAAGGCCUUCGGGUCGUAAAGCACUUUUCGGGAGGAUGAGAAAGGACAGUACUCCCGGAAUAAGUCUCGGCUAACUACGUGCCAGCAGCCGCGGUAACACGUAGGAGGCAAGCGUUAUCCGGAUUUACUGGGCGUAAAGCGCGUGCAGGUGGUUUGGUAAGUUGGAUGUGAAAUCUCCCGGCUCAACUGGGUGAGGUCGUUCAAAACUGCUAAACUGGAGGACGAUAGAGGAAAGUGGAAUUCCCGGUGUAGUGGUGAAAUGCGUAGAUAUCGGGAGGAACACCAGUGGCGAAAGCGACUUUCUGGAUCGUUCCUGACACUCAGACGCGAAAGCUAGGGUAGCAAACGGGAUUAGAUACCCCCGUAGUC
rnacentral:rRNA from 1 species